GCGCCCUCUUCUGGCUUCCACAGUCGCCAGGCUUGCCCAUGGUGCACAGAUAUUCAUGUACACAUAACAUCUGUUUAGAAGAUUAGAACAGGAAAAAUGGUAUGUUCUGGAGUGGAAACAUAAGUUAGAUUUUAAUUUCAGGAAGCUGGCCAAGGUGGUGCUUUCCUAAAUAAUACUUGGAAUUCUAGACAUCUGUCCAAGUUCAAGUGUUGUGAGCAUGGGGGUGUAGCUCAGCGGAGGAGUACUGGCCCUAGUUUUUUUGUUGUUUGAUACCAGGUUUCACUAUGUAGCCUUGGAUGACCUGGAACUCACGUAGACUGGGCUGGUAUCAAACUCACAGACACUCACCCAUCUGCCUCCUCCAGGGGCUGGGGCUAAGGGCAUGUGCCACCACGCCCAGCCAGGCCCUAGUGGCAUGGGAAGCACAUAAGGACAGAAACGUGGAAGACACAUUCCUUCUGGAACCUAAGUGUCAGUGUUAGCACUAAAACCGGUUCUCUUGUUUUCAUUUGCUUGCCCAGGACACUCUUAAGGACAGGAGUGAGGGUGCCCUCAGCCUCCUCACCCAGCUUCAGCAGCAGAGUGUGUUCCUAGCUGUCAACUAGACUCUCAGUGACCCCCAGGAGUCCGCAGAUGGCUUUGUGUUUGCUUAGUUUUUCAUUCUGGAAUACUGCAAACCCUGUCCUCAGAGACCCGCAAUCUCUUGAGGGUGGAGACCAGGUAUAAGCUUUCCAGGGUUUUCUUGCUUAGCUGUGAUGGACUGAGUCUGACUUUACCGUACAUAAGUGAUCUGUUGUCUUAAGAUUUUCGUGUUUUCUAUGUGACUGUUUCUUCUUUUGUUUCCUUUUUUUUUUUUUUUUUGUAACAAAAAUGUGUUUGUAAUGUUUUUAUUCUCCUGGGUGUUUUUAAACACACUGUCUUUCUGGCUAUUGUUCAUUCACUGAAGACUGAUUUUUAUUGUACCCGUUCCAACUUUUUCUCCCCUGGUGGCCACACUUGGGAACACACAGAUGUGCACAGGGAGCCGAGAGCUGCAAGCUGUGCCGCUGUCUUGUCCCUGUCUGCCUUGGAAGGUUUUCCUGCCCUCUGGUUGAUGGUCUAGUAGAAUCUGUUACUACUUUGGAAUGUUUGGGCUUUGUUUGUUCGUGUGUGUGUGUUAAGUUGUUGGUUGGUUUUAUUCAUGGAUAUGCAGCUUUACUCUUUAACCCAGAUUUAAAAAAAAAAAUAAAAAAUAAUAAUGU
rnacentral:lncRNA from 1 species